rnacentral:rRNA from 1 species
UACGUAGGGGGCAAGCGUUGUCCGGAUUUAUUGGGCGUAAAGAGCGUGUAGGCGGCCAUACAGGUCCGUUGUGAAACCUGGAGGCUUAACCUCCAGACGUCGAUGGAAACCGUAUGGCUAGAGUCCGGAAGAGGAGAGUGGAAUUCCUGGUGUAGCGGUGAAAUGCGCAGAUAUCAGGAGGAACACCAAUGGCGAAGGCAGCUCGCUGGGACGUGACUGACGCUGAGACGCGAAAGCGUGGGGAGCAAACAGG